GACGAACGCUGGCGGCGUGCCUAAUACAUGCAAGUCGAACGCAGUGGGGACGGGUGAGUAACACGUGGGUCACCUCCCAUAAGAGGGGAUAACACUUGGACACAGGUGCUAAACCGAUACUGAUGGAUGGUCCCUCGGUGCAUUAGCUAGUUGGUGGGGUAACGGCCCACCAAGGCCCCGAUGCAUAGCCGACCUGAGAGGGUGAUCGGCCACACUGGGACUGAGACACGGCCCAGACUCCUACGGGAGGCAGCAGUAGGGAAUCUUCGGCAAUGGACGAAAGUCUGACCGAGCAACGCCGCGUGAGUGAAGAAGGUUUUCGGAUCGUAAAACUCUGUUGUUAGAGAAGCGGUAUCUAACCAGAAAGCCACGGCUAACUACGUGCCAGCAGCCGCGGUAAUAC
rnacentral:rRNA from 1 species